AUUGAACGCUGGCGGCAUGCUUUACACGUGCAAGUCGAACGGCAGCGCGGGCUUCGGCCUGGCGGCGAGUGGCGAACGGGUGAGUAAUACAUCGGAACGUGCCCAGUAGUGGGGGAUAGCUCGGCGAAAGCCGGAUUAAUACCGCAUACGACCUGAGGGUGAAAGCGGGGGAUCUUCGGACCUCGCGCUAUUGGAGCGGCCGAUGGCAGAUUAGCUAGUUGGUGGGGUAAAGGCCUACCAAGGCGACGAUCUGUAGCUGGUCUGAGAGGACGACCAGCCACACUGGGACUGAGACACGGCCCAGACUCCUACGGGGGGCAGCAGUGGGGAAUUUUGGACAAUGGGCGAAAGCCUGAUCCAGCAAUGCCGCGUGUGUGAUGAAGGCCUUCGGGUUGUAAAGCACUUUUGGCGGGAACGAAAAGGACUGUGCCAAUACCACGGUUCGAUGACGGUACCCGCAGAAUAAGCACCGGCUAACUACGUG
rnacentral:rRNA from 1 species